rnacentral:rRNA from 1 species
UACGUAGGUGGCAAGCGUUGUUCGGAAUUAUUGGGCGUAAAGGGUGAGUAGGCGGUUUGUUAAGUCGGUCGUGAAAGCCCGGGGCUCAACCCCGGAGGGUCGACCGAUACUGGCAGGCUAGAGUACAGAAGAGGUAACUGGAAUUCCCGGUGUAGCGGUGAAAUGCGUAGAUAUCAGGAGGAACACCGAUGGCGAAGGCAGCUCGCUGGGACGGUACUGACGCUGAGGCGCGAAAGCGUGGGGAGCAAACAGG